rnacentral:rRNA from 1 species
ACGCUAGCGACAGGCUUAACACAUGCAAGUCGAGGGGCAGCACAGGUAGCAAUACCGGGUGGCGACCGGCGCACGGGUGAGUAACGCGUAUGCAACUUGCCUAUCAGAGGGGGAUAACCCGGCGAAAGUCGGACUAAUACCGCAUGAAGCAGGGAUCCCGCAUGGGAAUAUUUGCUAAAGAUUCAUCGCUGAUAGAUAGGCAUGCGUUCCAUUAGGCAGUUGGCGGGGUAACGGCCCACCAAACCGACGAUGGAUAGGGGUUCUGAGAGGAAGGUCCCCCACAUUGGUACUGAGACACGGACCAAACUCCUACGGGAGGCAGCAGUGAGGAAUAUUGGUCAAUGGCCGAGAGGCUGAACCAGCCAAGUCGCGUGAGGGAUGAAGGUUCUAUGGAUCGUAAACCCCUUUUAUAAGGGAAUAAAGUGCGGGACGUGUCCCGUUUUGUAUGUACCUUAUGAAUAAGGAUCGGCUAACUCCGUGCCAGCAGCCGCGGUAAUACGGAGGAUCCGAGCGUUAUCCGGAUUUAUUGGGUUUAAAGGGUGCGUAGGCGGCCUUUUAAGUCAGCGGUGAAAGUCUGUGGCUCAACCAUAGAAUUGCCGUUGAAACUGGGGGGCUUGAGUAUGUUUGAGGCAGGCGGAAUGCGUGGUGUAGCGGUGAAAUGCAUAGAUAUCACGCAGAACCCCGAUUGCGAAGGCAGCCUGCCAAGCCAUGACUGACGCUGAUGCACGAAAGCGUGGGGAUCAAACAGGAUUAGAUACCCUGGUAGUCCACGCAGUAAACGAUGAUCACUAGCUGUUUGCGAUACACUGUAAGCGGCACAGCGAAAGCGUUAAGUGAUCCACCUGGGGAGUACGCCGGCAACGGUGAAACUCAAAGGAAUUGACGGGGGCCCGCACAAGCGGAGGAACAUGUGGUUUAAUUCGAUGAUACGCGAGGAACCUUACCCGGGUUUGAACGCAUUCGGACCGAGGUGGAAACACCUUUUCUAGCAAUAGCCGUUUGCGAGGUGCUGCAUGGUUGUCGUCAGCUCGUGCCGUGAGGUGUCGGCUUAAGUGCCAUAACGAGCGCAACCCUUGCCACUAGUUACUAACAGGUGAUGCUGAGGACUCUGGUGGGACUGCCAGCGUAAGCUGCGAGGAAGGCGGGGAUGACGUCAAAUCAGCACGGCCCUUACAUCCGGGGCGACACACGUGUUACAAUGGCGUGGACAAAGGGAAGCCACCUGGCGACAGGGAGCGAAUCCCCAAACCACGUCUCAGUUCGGAUCGGAGUCUGCAACCCGACUCCGUGAAGCUGGAUUCGCUAGUAAUCGCGCAUCAGCCAUGGCGCGGUGAAUACGUUCCCGGGCCUUGUACACACCGCCCGUCAAGCCAUGGGAGCCGGGGGUACCUGAAGUCCGUAACCGCGAGGAUCGGCCUAGGGUAAAACUGGUGA